UGGGGAAUAUUGGACAAUGGGGGAAACCCUGAUCCAGCAACGCCGCGUGAGGGAAGAAGGCCUUCGGGUUGUAAACCUCUGACGGAGGGGACGAAACCUUCCAUGGCUAACAUCCAUGGGAAUUGACGGUACCCUCAAAGGAAGCACCGGCUAACCUCGUGCCAGCAGCCGCGGUAAUACGAGGGGUGCAAGCGUUGUUCGGAUUUACUGGGCGUAAAGCGUGCCUAGGUGGAUUUACAAGUCAGAUGUGAAAGCUCCCGGUUCAACCGGGAAGGGUCAUUUGAAACUGUAGAUCUUGAGUUCCGGGGAGGUGGGUGGAAUUCCUAGUGUAGAGGUGAAAUUCGUAGAGAUUAGGAGGAACACCGGAGGCGAAGGCGGCUCACUAAACGGACACUGACACUGCAGCACGAAAGCGUGGGUAGCAAACAGG
rnacentral:rRNA from 1 species